rnacentral:lncRNA from 1 species
AUAUUUUAAAUUAUUAAUUAUUGUAACUUAUAAUACUUUUUAUGUAGUUCAAAUAAAUAUUUCAAAAAUAAGGAUCUAUGUUUAAAUUCGCGAUCAAAAUCAAGAAGUUUGACCCUCAAAAUCUAAACUAUAUCAGAGGGAGCGUACUAGUUUAGUUUUAAACAAUGGUAAAACAUAUGCAAAAUGUUAUUUUAGUUAUAUGAUCUUUUCGUAAGAGAUUGAUAAUAGUAACACAAGUAUAGUUAAGAUCCUUUGUUUUAUUCAAAUGGUAAGUUAGAAUAUGAAAUCAUUUUUAAUAACCAAAAGGAUAAACAAAAAGAUCGACGGACAAAGUGAAGAUUACAGCCGAGCAUUAAAUUCGCACGAAGUGCCAUCCAUGAUUAUAUUGGUCUAACUGAAAAAGUAACAUAUAAAAUUAAGAAGUGAUUUUUUAUUUUAUAUUGAAAAGUAGGAGAAUCUAUGCCCCGACAUAUAUGAAACAAAAGUAGCUAAAUUUAAUGUUGUUUUAUCGAAGUAACGGUCUAGUUUUACUCUCCACCUUAGUGCACAAUCUCACUUUUUAUUUCACAUAAAAUUGCGAUCUGUACACCCUCUCAAUUGUACCUUUCUUAUGAUCACUGCAACCCAGGUUCCACUGGGAAAUCUAUUUAAAAAUAAAAAGUGCGAUCUGUAAAAGUAUGAAAGAAUGGUGUUAGAUCAAUUGGUGAUGCCAAGGCUUGUGAGAUUAACCAUUCCUUGACCAUUGGAGAUUCUUUUUCUACUUCUUUAAUACUUAUGUUGGAAGAGGAUUGCUAUUAAUAUUUGGAGGGAGGCUUUUAGACUAAGGGAAUUUUGGAAG